AGUGAACGCUGGCGGCGUGCUUAACACAUGCAAGUCGAACGAGAACGGAUUAUAGCUUGCUAUAAUUGUCAGCUAAGUGGCGCACGGGUGAGUAAUGUAUAGGUAAUAUGCCUCUUACUAAGGGAUAACAAAUGAAAACGUUUGCUAAUACCUUAUACUCCUUAUUAACAGAAGUUAAUAAGGGAAAGAUUUAUUGGUAAGAGAUUAGCCUGUAUUGUAUCAGUUAGUUGGUGAGGUAAUGGCUUACCAAGACUAUGACACAUAACUGGCUUGAGAGGAUGAUCAGUCACACUGGAACUGAGACACGGUCCAGACUCCUACGGGAGGCAGCAGUGGGGAAUAUUGCACAAUGGACGAAAGUCUGAUGCAGCAACGCCGCGUGGAGGAUGCCACAUUUCGGUGCGUAAACUCCUUUUAUAUGAGAAGAUAAUGACGGUAUUAUAUGAAUAAGCACCGGCUAACUCCGUGCCAGCAGCCGCGGUAA
rnacentral:rRNA from 1 species